rnacentral:misc_RNA from 1 species
GGUAAUUAUCAGCAGGCGCUAUAGAUAAACCAAUCUUGGAGGGAUCCGAAUCCGUCUGCAUAAAACAAACAGCAAGGAAAAACAGAGCAAAACACAAUAAGGAAACCGAUCAAACAGUCCCAUAAAACCCCUCUACCUAAGAAUGGCUAUUGGACAGUUAAGGGUGGAGAUCACUCCUCUGUCUUCACCUCACAGGGGGUGGUCAGAGUGGACACUUCGCUAUCAAGUAGCAGGAGGUAGGGCUGUGCACU